UAUCGCUUAAUAACGGCGUCCAAAAUGGCGAUUGGUGGACGCUAAUAUUAAUUUUAGUGAAAAAUUUGUAUUAUUGAAGGGAAAAACGAUUUAAAAGGUAAGUACAACCCCACAUUUUCUUUCAGCAAUCGUAGGAUUCCAUUUAAAGGAGUCGAAGACUCGAUGAAAAACAUGUCUGGACCCGGAAUUUUGGAUCAUUAUCUUGAAUCGUCAAAAAUCAGAUAAUAUCUGUCGAGGCUAGAUGAAACACGAAUUUACCCGAUUUCGGAUGGAAAAAAUGAAUACAAGUGUUAAUAUGGAUCAAUAUCGACUAUCCAUAUUCCUUCUCCCAACAUUCAAACUUUUUUUCUGUAGGUGGUUGGCUGCUAAAAAUGUUUCCUUUAUUUAAUAGAAAGGAUUUGAGAGUUUGAUUUCUAUUAGCAUUUAUAAUUAUCAACAGUUAUCCAAUUUAUCAUAUGAUGAGAAUGAUUAAUAAAAACUACAACUCGU